rfam:Ictidomys tridecemlineatus contig033789, whole genome shotgun sequence.
GGGGAUAUAGCUCAGUGGGUAGAGUACUUGCCUUGCAUGCACAAGGCCCUGGGUUCAAUCCUUACCAUCACCA